rnacentral:ncRNA from 1 species
GUGUUGUAUGAAAGGAGAGAAGGUUAGCACUUCCUUGACAGAGAUGAAAGAGGCUCUCGGGCCUGACAACAUGCAUACAGUUAAGAAAUUGCCACCUACUUUAUGGCAUUUAACUAUCAUUUUUA